CAGGCCGUUCGGCGGAAUGCCGACCCCGGUGUCUUUUCUUGGACCGCGACAGUUGCCGUCGAGAAGCCGGAUAGGCUCGUAGACCACGCUCGGAAGCAUUCUGAUGCGUAUGUGUAUACGCCGAAGUGGCGAGCUACGGUUUGCGGCCCGUGGUUUCUUGGCCACGUGCCCACGUGAAUCCUUCGGCAUGGUAGGUAGUAUCAUUCCUCUCGUAUUAUGCUAGUGACUUCAUUCUGUUGCGCGUGCUGAGUUAUACAAAUUCGGAAGACAGUAGUAGUUAUUACAUUCUCAAAUUCUUAUUCCAUUUGUUCAAUGGUUGUACUUGUACUAACCAAACAUUGAUGUAUAGUAAUUCGGUAAUUCACCUCCAACUCUGGUGAUUUUCUCAAAACAGCUGAUAGAAAGCAAAUGGAUGACAUAACACAAUAUCUGCACUUGAAUGGAAAUCAUUUUCAGUGCUGACAGCGCAUGGUAUCUGUAUUUGAAUGGAAACCAUUUUGAAUAUUUCUCUGAGGGAAAAAAAAGCAUUUUGCAUAUCUAACUUUGUCCCAUGCCUGUGAAACUUAAGUAUAUCUGUAUAUGUAUAGUACUUUAAGAAACAUGGAAAAAUUAUACUAUGAAUUUUGCAAAAACCUUUUCUUAAGGAAGUACCUAAAGCUCAAAAUGGCAACCUGUUAGGCUCUGUACAAACUACAAAACAAACUCUAAGGUUUAUCAGAAGUAGCGGUUUUAGGGAAACUACGAAUGUGACAUGUACAUCGUGCACGAAAAUACAAGAUUAUCUAUCAUAUGUGGUUCAUUUUAUCUUCGCUAAUCUUGGCAUCUAUGGGGCAGCUUCUAUACUGGACAGGGAGGAGACUACUUCUGUGAUAGCUGGCCUUCUGAAUUGAUUGUUAUCAACACACUUGCAAGCGGUUUCAAGAACUUCCAGCAUUUGCUCUUCAUAGCCUCUUCCUCGAAGUGUUGGAUCCAGGACUUCAGUCUGCUUACACUCGGACCUCAUCUGUAGAACCCAUGGGACAAGUUCUUUUGAUGUAGACAGGACUGUAACAGGUCUCUUUCCGGUGAGCAGCUCAAGCAAGACUACUCCAAAACUGUACAUAUCACCUCUCAAGGUAGCAACCCAUGCUUGCCCGUACUCGGGAGGGAUAUAACCCAUAGUGCCGACCAACUCAGUUGUAACAUGAGUUUUGUCGGGAAGGAUCAAUCUGGCUAGCCCGAAAUCUGCAACAUAAGCUUUAAAUUCUUUGUCCAGUAGGAUGUUACUGGAUUUGAUGUCACGGUGGACAAUCUGAGGCUUGCAGACGUCAUGGAUAUAAGAAAGGCCCAGGCUUGCCCCUUUUGCGAUCUUUAGCCGAGUCGGCCAGUCAAGAAAUGAGCUGGCAUCAUCAUACCUGUUAUGAAGCCAAUCAUCCAGGCUACCAUUCUCCAUGUAGGAAUAUACAAGGAACCUCGAGUUUCCCUGGAUGCAAUAACCCCACAGUGGUACAAGAUUAUCAUGUUGUGCCAUGGAGAGUGCAUCAACCUCUGCACUGAACUCCCUUUCCAUCAGACACAUUUCACUGUUGAGCUUUUUUAUUGCCAGCUUGGAUCCAUCAGGUAGCUCUGCCUUGUAGACUAAUCCAUAACCUCCGCAUCCAAUGAUAUUCUCCUUGUCAAAGUUGUUUGUGGCUUUCAAAAUGUCAGCGAAUUUGAGCUUGGUUCCUUCUGUCUUCCCUUGCGGCAUCCGCAUCACCACUAAUGUUUGCUCUGAACUGGAGUAGAACGAAGUUGCUUCAAUAUCUCCAUUAUUCUCCCUUCUAUUUCUUAUUCUAAUGCCAUUUAUCCUGAUAAAUACAAUGAGCCGCCCCAGCAACAAAAGAACAGCGAUGCCUCCAAAGAACACACCAAAUGCAAUUACAAAAACAGACUUCUUAUAUCGUGGUUUUGUGGUCUCUUUUGUGGAUGGUGGAGGUAUCGAAGCUGAAUCACAUUUGUGGGUUAGCAUAGAGACACACAGCUUUGGGUUCCCACUGAAACUAGAAUUCUGAAAUGUAUCAAACUGGCCUCCAGAUGGAAUAGGCCCUUCUAGGUCAUUGUUUGAAAUACUGAAUGCUGAAAGGAAGUGCAGGGUGUUCAAUGCAGCUGGAAUAGCACCUGUGAGAUUGUUGCUGGACAAGUCUAGUACCUGCAAGUUUGCGAGGUUGCAGACCGAUUGUGGGAUCUGUCCGGAUAACUUGUUGAAGCUGAAGUCAAGUACAGCAAGCACUUUCAGCUGACCAAUCUGUGUGGGAAUCACACCUGUGAAAUUGUUAUUGCUUAGAUUCAACACUGCUGGGAAAGAUGUAACCACACGGUAUUGAAGUGCUGGACCAUUAUAAACAGGCAGCUCAAAGACCGUUGGGUCCAAAUGAGUUGCGUUAUCAGUUGAUUUUAGCACUGGCAUCUCGGUUAAGGUUAAUGGGAUUUCUCCUGUAAGACUGUUGCUUGACACAUCCAUAUAGAAGAGAUGACUUAGAGAGCUGAUCCAGCCUGGUAUUGACCCAGUGAGUCGAUUGCCACAUAAAAAUAGCAUCUGCAAGUUUACAGCCCUUGAUAUCCACACAGGUAUUCUCCCAGAAAAAUUGCAACCUUGUAUAUCGAGAACCUGAAGACUUCCAAAACCAUCAAUUGUUUCAUCCUGUGAGAGUAUCUCUCCCCUAAAGUUGUGCCCCAUAAGCAGUGUUGUCAGGUUCUUGCUGCUCUUAAGGAUCUGAAGUGCAUUUGUAAUGUUUGUGAAAUUGUUUUUACCGAGUGACAAGAAGGAGAGGUACUUCAGAUUACCUAUUCUCGAUGAGAGCUGUCCGUGUAAGUUGUUGCUAGAUAGCCGCAGUGCAAUCAGAUUACUGCACGAGUAUAUGCUUUCUGGAACUUCACCGGUGAAGUUGUUUAACCAGAGGUCUAAAAUUCUUAGAUUGGGCAGGUUGGAGAAAUUGACCUUGGUAAGUUUUCCACUGAAGUGAUUGCUCUUGAGGUCAAUUGUUAUGAGAUUUGUGCAGUUGCUCAGAGCAGAUGGCAGUUCCCCUGACAUGUUGUUGUAAGCCAAAUGGAGCUCCUCCAAUUUCUUGAGCUGUCCUAUAGAAACUGGAAUCUUGCCACUGAAGUUGUUCCAUCCAAGAUGAAGGACUACAAGAUUUCUGAGGUUGGUUAUGUGUGUACCAUCAAUAGCUCCACUGAGGUUGUUGUAUCCAGCCCUGAGCUCUCUCAGCUUGGAGCAAUUACCAAGACUUGGGGGGAUGCUGCCACUGAAUUUGUUGAAAGACAGUUCAAGCACAGUGAAGGACGGCGAGCUGUUACAGAAAUGAGUUGGUAUCUGCCCAGUAAAUCUGUUCUUACUGGCAUUGAGUGCGAUCAAAUUUGCCAUUGCUUUCCAUGUGGUGGAUGGAAACUGUCCUGUAAAUGAGUUGCUGGAGAUGUUCAGUACCUGUAGAGGCUGGGCAGGCGUUGAAGAUGGCAGCUCCUGGAGCGUUCCAUUGAGCUGGUUAAAGCUGACAUCAAGGAUAGUAAUGCUGCUGGACGACAUCAACUCCGGUGGCAGUCCACCGGACAGCGAGUUGUGGGAGAGAUUAAGGUACUGCAGCCCGGUGAGGACCCCAAGGGACUGUGAGAUGUGCCCCUGGAGGCCCUUCGAAGGCAGGAAGACAGCGGUGACCGUCCCAUCUUGCCUGCAGGUGAUCCCUUCCCACUUGCAGCAAUCCGUGCCAUUCCGCCAUGUCGCAGGGAGGCCACCGUCUUGUGAGAGCCCGGCGAGGAACUGUAGAAGGGAGCCCUUCUCCGUCUCCGUGCACGAACUGCCCGGAGAGACCAGGCAGAUCAGCAGCACAAGUGCGAGGCAAAGGGAAGGUAUGUGGAAUAUCUUGCUGUGUGUCUUGUCGGAAAAAUGGAGUGUCUGCAUGGUUUCGUGGUGAAACUAGCAUGAGAACCAGAGCUUAAGUUGUGCACUGACUGGAUAAAGCAUCUUCAUAGCGGGGGGAAGAAAGAAGCAGAUCUUGCUCCCAUUUGUUCUGUCCCUUGUGCUCAUCACCAGCCCACCAGCUGCUUCCCAGUUCACACUUCACACUGAUGUUUCAGUGUUCCGCUAUUGGCUUCCUGCUAUAAUCUACUGACAAGUCAAUUGCCUGAUCUUCCUGAACACCUUCCGUACAAAAGAAAACUGCAGUGUAGAUUUUGUGGUCAUCCUUGACUCAAUCCUUAAUGAGUUCUUACAGCGCUCCUUACUUUACUUGCCCUGGCAUCGCUUAUCUUACCGGCUUCACUAAACAAAUCUAACCUCUACCCACUAGCACUUAUCUUUACUUGCCCUGACAUCCUUUUGGAUUUUGGUGAACAGGAAAAGGCAUCUUUUGAAAAAGAAACAGUUGGUGAAGAUUUGCAGAAUAUACAGCUGACGAGAUAGUACACGGGCGAUCAUUUCUGUAAGGCGAUUGCAAUCGAGAGCGAUCAUCGGCGUCUCAAUCAGGGUGUGGACAAGACCAUUUGAGUGGAGGACAAGAAGAAGUGCAAUUUUGUUCCUUAAUGGACGGGGUGGAUGGUUGACCUGCUGGGUGAUCACAUGUUCUCUCUUCCAUCCUCUUGAUUUACUCGCCCUUAUCACCUUAUCACGCGAGCUUUGCCUGAUGGUUACGUUUGCUGUUGUUUUCCAUUCCCCACUGGCGCACUGUUGUGCACCAUGGAAUGUGUCUGUCGUCUUAAUUCGGAACUUGGUAGCGUGUGAGCUCUGGCACUGGCACUGGCAGGCCGGCUGGUUGAUCGCUUUCCUCUGAUGCUGAUCAGCUUGUGGUUGUGGGAACGCCUGUGCUGUGUGGACAUGGUCCUUUGGAACCUAACCAUGCAUUAGGUAUAGUUUAAAUACUUUAUUAGUUGAAUAAUUAGUGUUCAGAAUCACAUUUCUUUUGGGAACACUGUGCCAUUAUUAUUUUGUAUAGUAGAUGAUAAUGAUGUGCUGAUGUAGUGAUGUUAGCUACAAUGCAUCAUUGUUAUUAUUUUAGAUGCUGCACUCUAUCAUUGAGCAGUGUACAGAUUGUCAAUGAUUUUUCCUCUCUGAUUGAGAAAAAUAUAUGGCAAGUGGCUGACACUCUAC
rnacentral:lncRNA from 1 species